GACGAACGCUGGCGGCGUGCUUAACACAUGCAAGUCGAGCGGUAAGGCCCUUUCGGGGGUACACGAGCGGCGAACGGGUGAGUAACACGUGGGUGACCUGCCCUCAGCUCUGGGAUAAGCCUGGGAAACCGGGUCUAAUACCGGAUAUGACUCCAUGACGCAUGUUGUGGGGUGGAAAGCCUUGUGCGGCUGAGGAUGGGCCCGCGGCCUAUCAGCUUGUUGGUGGGGUGAUGGCCUACCAAGGCGACGACGGGUAGCCGGCCCUGAGAGGGCGACCGGCCACACUGGGACUGAGACACGGCCCAGACUCCUACGGGAGGCAGCAGUGGGGGAAUCUUGCGCAAUGGGCGAAAGCCUGACGCAGCGACGCCGCGUGA
rnacentral:rRNA from 1 species